rnacentral:rRNA from 1 species
CACGGGGGGAGCAAGCGUUGUUCGGAAUCACUGGGCGUAAAGGGUGUCUAGGCGGUCAGGUAAGUGAGAUGUGAAAUGCCCCGGCUUACCCGGGGACCUGCAUCUCAUACUGCCUGGCUUGAGUAUGGGAGAGGAUGAGGGAAUUCCUGGUGUAGCGGUGAAAUGCGUAGAUAUCAGGAGGAACACCGGUGGCGAAAGCGCUCAUCUGGCCCAAUACCGACGCUGAAGCACGAAGGCCAGGGGAGCAAACGGG